UACAGAGGUUCCAAGCGUUGUUCGGAUUCACUGGGCGUAAAGGGUGCGUAGGUGGUUGCGCAAGUCUGAUGUGAAAUCUCCGGGCUCAACCCGGAAAUGGCAUUGGAAACUGCGUGGCUAGAGGGUUGGAGGGGGGACUGGAAUACUUGGUGUAGCAGUGAAAUGCGUAGAUAUCAAGUGGAACACCAGUGGCGAAGGCGAGUCCCUGGACAACACCUGACACUGAGGCACGAAAGCUAGGGGAGCAAACAGG
rnacentral:rRNA from 1 species